rnacentral:tRNA from 1 species
CCCGUUGUAGCUCAGCUGGUUAGAGCGCCUGACUGUGGAUCAGGAGGUCAGCAGUUCGAGUCUGCUCAACGGGACAA